rnacentral:misc_RNA from 1 species
UUUCCGUAGGUGAACCUGCGGAAGGAUCAUUAUUGUAUAACCGAGGUGCGAGGGCUGUCGCUGACCCGAAAGGUCGUGCACGCCCGAGUGCCCUCACACACAUCCACCUCACCCUAUGUGCACCACCGCGUGGGUCCCCCUUUGGCUUGUUCGGAGGGGGGCUUACGUUUUCACACAAACUUUGUAUGCAGUGUAGAAUGUAUUUUUUGUUUUUGCGAUCACGCAAUCAAUACAACUUUCAACAACGGAUCUCUUGGCUCUC